rnacentral:lncRNA from 1 species
CUUUACUCAAUCAAUAUCAAUAUAUAACCACAAUGAAAAAUAAAAUAAAAAACUUUACUCAAUCCAAUUAUUCUUCUAGGGAAGAGCCUCAAGUUCAUUCUGUAAAAAAAAGAAAUAUUUCAAAAUAACUACAAACAGUUCAAAAUAAUAGAAAAUGCUAAAAUAAAAAUUGAAGACAUGAAAAAUACGCAGAGAGUAAUAGAGUUCAGUUUUGGACCUUCAUCUUAAGAAUUAGAUUUUCCUUUGGCAACCGCAGUAUUUGAUUCUUCAAUACGG